CGCCUGUUUAUCAAAAACAUCGCCUCCUGCAAAAAACAACAUAUAGGAGGUCUUACCUGCCCAGUGACAAGUUAAACGGCCGCGGUAUUUUGACCGUGCGAAGGUAGCGCAAUCACUUGUCUUUUAAAUGAAGACCUGUAUGAAUGGUGGAACGAGGGCUUAACUGUCUCCCCUUUCAAGUCAAUGAAAUUGAUCUACCCGUGCAGAAGCGGGUAUAAAAAUACAAGACGAGAAGACCCUUUGGAGCUUAAGAUGCAAAAAUCAACUAUGUCAAGAACCAUACAAAUAAGUUAAACUAAAUAGUACCUGAUUCCAAUCUUCGGUUGGGGCGACCACGGGAGAAAACCAAGCUCCCAUGAGGACUGGGGUAAAACCCUAAAACUAAGAAAGACAUUUCCAAGUCACAGAACAUCUGACCAUAAAGAUCCGGACACACCGAUCAACGAACCAAGUUACCCUAGGGAUAACAGCGCAAUCCCCUUCCAGAGUCCAUAUCGACAGGGGGGUUUACGACCUCGAUGUUGGAUCAGGACAUCCUAAUGGUGCAGCCGCUAUUAAGGUUCGUUUGUUCAACGAUUAAAGUCCU
rnacentral:rRNA from 1 species